CGGGGUACGAGGGCGAGGGGUUGUACCCGUCGCUCAUGCGCGCCUGGAACCCCGCCCUGUCGCUUCGGACCACGGUCUGUCCUGUCGAGGACUCUUCGCCGAGGUGGUCGAAUAGUCACGCUUUAACCCGCGAUCCGCGAGGCGGAGGACGGCACUCGCCAGGUACGCGCGCAAGUGCUCGGACACGAGAAGAGAGGAGAGGAGAGGAAAGGAGCGGAGCGAAGCGGAGAGGAGAGGAGGUCCCUUAUCCGCGACUAUCGGUCGGUCCGUCGCGCUUACCGAAGCCCUCGCCGAGACGUCGAACGUUUGCCGAACGAUUCAAGGAUCCAGCAAAGAUCAGCGCGACGCGAUAUCACGGCGACCGGUGUGUAAAUGUCCCAUGUACUCGGGAAGGAUCAACGACGGCGGAUCGAUCCUCAUCGGCUCGCGACGGAGAGUCGCGUGUAACAGGAAGUUCAGGGUGCCGUUCGAUGUGACCGGUUCUGCAGCCAAGAACCCGCUGCGUGGCAACCAGUUGCCGAAUGUGAACGUACACUGGAGGCAGGCGUGAACAGGCACCAGGUCUCGAGUUGUCUCCGCGCGAACGCUCCUGCGGAGCCAAGCGAAACGGUAGAUCGUGUCGGAGCAGCGCAGCGCGGGGCUCAAGGUGGAGGAGGCUCUCUCGCGCGGCUCUCUCGAGAGUCCACGAGGAUACGUCGAUUUGUUCGCCGCUGGACGGAUCAAUCUGGCGCGCUGCUCGUGACAGGUCGUCGAGUGUGCCGAGCACUGUUGAUCGCGGCCGAUGCAACGACACCGUCAGCGUCGUGAGCGACGACUAAGCGCCUUCAUCAGCGGCCAGAGGAUACAUCGUCGACGACGACUGUGGCUUCCCUUAGGAUAAUUACGAUCGAGCGAGCAACUGGUACAUUGGGAGUAAUACAAGAAGAAGAAGAGAGAUAAGCGCAGUCACUUGGCCGUCACAUCUGCUCGUCACAUAGGUUUACAAAGCGCGAUAUCGAGUCCUAUUGGCGAGAGUCUCCGAUAUCCGCCGUUCAAAUACCACAACGUGCGCCUUACUGAUGUCAGAAGAAGAAGUAGGAAGAGGCGAACAGCAGGCCUAAUUUGGGAUCAACGGGCUAACGAUCGCGCGACAGCGACAGUUUUCUAACGCGAGGAUCGCGAGCCUCCGGUGAUUUAUCUUCAAACACGCAUCUUCACGCGCGCAUUGCGCCGAAAUGCGUGAUUUCCUACGAAGCCGCGGCGUCUGAAAGUCGCCGUGAUCGAUCGACUUAAUUUGAUCAUCUAAAGGAACCUUAAGCGUACAAGGUCGUUAUGUAUAAGCGAUAAGGCAGGCUGAGAAGUGAAGGAGGUGACUCGACAGAGACACAUAGAGAGAGAAAGAGAGAGUGGGGGAGAGGAGAGAGAGAGAGAGAGAGAGAGAGAGAGAGAGAAGCUCGAGCAGUUGGUACGUGGCCUAUCUGUCGCGACGCGAUUCACAAGGACCUACUUGAGCAAACAUCGAACCCGGCGAUGCGGACGUAGCGGCAAUCGAAUUUGCCGAUCAGCUCGGGCUCGUAAUGUCGAGCUUGUUACACCGCGAAAAGGCGUGCUCGGAGCUUCGCAGUGGAGCGCGCUGUAUCGAUCGCGAGAUCGUCGUUCGCGUUCUCCGAGUUUCCAAGAGGAAGCUCACGACAAUAGAGUGUUCGUCGGUCAAACGAUCACGGAGAAUCGUCCAUUGAGUUAGUUUGUCAGGCAACCACGCCGUGCUAUUACGUAUUCGCCAUCAUCGCCAAUCACAUCUAGUUUUGUAUCUCGGCCCAACCUGUAUACGGUUCAAUGAAACCUUCGUCGGCCUAUACAACACAGCAGCAGCAGCAGCAGCCAGCGAGCCAGCUGACCACAUCGCGCACCGUGUUCGGACGAGCUAGUCACGUCGAGCUAGUAAACACGGCCUCGCUCAAUGCCUCCUAGUGAAAAGCGGAAUCGCGACCGCGUACACUUGAUCCCCGCUCACCUGGCGGACGACUUGCCGUGGCCGAGGAAAGCGAUGGUCGACGCGUCCCUGCUCGACAGUUGAUCCUAGGAUCGAGACGUCAAUUCGAACCGCGCGUUCCUCCACGAGGAAGCGAUGCUCGGCCGCCAGUAGAUCGGCGCGCUCGAUGUGUCGCCGCAGAAUCGAGCGUCGAGCAGCGAUCAGCAUCGGCCGAGGAAGCCGAAGAGGCAGCUUCGCAUAGCGUCGUCCCCUUCUCGACAGCCGUCUUGGGUGAUGCGCGGGAGCAGCUCCGAACUCCUGCUGGAGCCAAGUUGCAGCCAGUGCCAGUGCGAUCACGAUCGGCAUCAGCGUCGGGACAGCGGCGCCGGGCACGACUUCCACGAGCGGGAGCUACGUCGUCGCAAGCUGUUGGAGCUCGGGUUCGGCGCGUCGCGGCGCCGACCGCCACGGCGUACCUGCCGUCAGCGGUUUAAUUUCUACGCCACGUCAGCGCUGGCCUUCGUCGCGACCUCCGGCGGCGCGGCACUUCUCUUCCUGGUGCCGCUCUACGUCGACCCGGCUAUCAGCACCUUGGCGGCGGACUUCUCGCCGGAGCCGGUCAUCUGCACUACCUCCCGGCGCGAAGAGCUCGCCGGCCUCUUCAACUGCACAUGGAGCUCGUGUCGCGAGGGAUGCACCAGUGACGUGUACAGGUGCACCCACAUAUACGUCACUUACACGCCGUGGAGCAACGCCAGUAUGAGGAACGAGACUGCCGGCAAAAACGCCACUACGAACACCACGGCCACUCCGGGCACUGUCACUGCCGUGUCCUCCCCGGGGGACGUCGAGGCGGUGCUUCUGGUGAACAUCAAGGGCUGCGGAUACCCGCCGGUAGUCGAUUGCAAGAACUUCACCCGCGAGUUGGGUUACGAGGGCGCGAAGUUUCCCUGCCAUUACAGCCGGGUGAACGGUAGCAUAGUGAUGGCGAACUAUAAUCGCGAGGCACAGGUCGCUACCAUCAUGCACUUCUUCGCGGCCCCUUUCGUAGUGACUCUCGCGACCAGCGUCGCGCUGUGUGUGAUGCACUGUGACUGCAGGUGCACGCCGCCACCGCGACACCCGCCACGUGGCAUGAGAAGAUCCAGGGGCAACGAUCUCAGGUAAUUAGUUGGACGGAUUGAAAUUCGGAAAGAAACACAUCUCAUAUAUAUAUAUAUAUAUUUAUUUAUCGAGAAACGGUGUACAUAUAUUGUCAUUAGCGUAGCGAGAGACGUUCAUGAUGUACACAUCGUACAUACGGAAUGAGUUAAGAUACGACUUUGUUAGUUGAAUGGAACGUACUUAGAGUAGAGUAGAGUAGAGAGUAGAGUUGUGAUAUACGAGAAUAAAGACGCUUUGACAUGUGAGAAAUGUUGCUGAAACACGUCAGAGAGAGCGGCGGGUACCGCUCGCGCCGAUAUGUCGAUGGUCGAGUAAUAACGCGCACGGGCUCGUAAAUGACGCGACAAGUCGCGACGGGAGGCUGGUAAAAUUGGUGUUAACAUCGCAAUUAUUGUAAUAUUACAGCUGCUGCAUGAGUAUAAAAAAUCGAUAACGGGUUAGAAGCGUGAGCCAGAGGUCGUCCGAUUUAGAAGGUGUAUUUGAUGCAGCAAAUAAACUUUCUAAACCAUACGUAAGAGACGAGGCGACUUAGCAAAGAGAUGUGUUACUACCAACGUACUUACACUGUCGUCGUGAAACGAUGCUAAACACUUUCGGCUGCGAAUACUGCCUUAGAAGCGACCACUCGAUCAGCAACCGCGUGGACCGUCGUGGACACCCGACGUAUUGCGAGUGCGGCGAGGUGACGAGGCCCUUAUGACGACGCGAGGAGACGGCCGAGAGCGCCCUGGCCACGUCGCAGUCCGACUUCUAGGCCCCGCUCACUCUUCCCGCCCUCGACCGUCCUUCCGGCCCUUCGGCCGCGAGUCGAACUCGUUCAACUCCACUGCAUGUUUUCCGCUGCAGCACUGACAGAUCGACCGACCGUUCCGCGACCGUCCCCUUCCCACACCCAGCACUACCAUAUAUACGUGUAAAAACCGACAUUCGCGCCUACACAUGCAUACGCACACGAGAAAGAAAGAGGGAGAGAAAGAGGAGAGAGAGAGAGAGAGAGAAAGAGAGAGAGAGAGAGAGAGAAACAGAGAGAAAAAAAGUGAGAAGGAGAGAGGGGGAGAGAGAGAGACAUGUACGACACGUUCGGGAACACGGAAACGAUCCUUCGAUUCCAGCCGAGCGGUCGCUCGCGUCCGUAAAAGGUCCUUGCAGUAUCACGUCGGGUUACUGCAAUGUUAUCGCGCGGUUACUGCGUGGCUAAUUGGUACAACGGCGGUUCGCAGCUAGUAAUUACCGGCCGCUGUACGCGCCCCAUGGCAGUUCAACGGCGCGAUUGAUGCACGAUUACACAAAGUGCACGGGGUGAAAAAGAUCGCGGGCGAAAUUAAGGGAGUCCGUGCGAAUUGAUUGCCGUGCAGGGCACGGAAAUACGUGAUUCGCGCGAGCGCGGAAAUAUAUGUGAUGUUACAUAAUAAGCGUGAUUACGCGCCGCCGCCAGCGACGUUUCUUCAACACUAAUGGCACGAUUGGGGGAUUUUCCGUCGUUCAUGUGACGCAACGCGCUGGGGGUAUACGUGUGCUCGUGCGCUAAAGAGGUUGAGGCGCGCGAGGAUCGCAGGAUCGUUUUCUCACACGUGUGACGGAGCCACAACGGGAGUGGAAUACUCUGUGUUACGCUACUAACAGUCGAAAUACAGAACGCGAACCUGGCGCUAUCCAGGCUAGAGAUACCAGAUAGACGAUCAACUGCCCAGCUCAUUCCAGAAAGGAAUUUCAUGAUGGGAGGGAGAAAGAAAGCGCGUACGAGGUAUUCGUCCUUGAUUUCGGCAUUUCACUAUCUGCACGCAAGGAACUGUCGUUGGCCUAACGAUCGCGUUAAUUGCUUUUCAUUUCAUUGCGAGCGCGCGACGCCCUUUGAGCCCGGCCGCCGUGUUUGAAUUCGGUAAUCGAUGGCCGCCGUCGGUCCGGGGAUAACUGCGAACGACAUUGCAAAUUUGCGAGACGUUAAGGUACGUAUAAUAGCGCUGGCACGUUCCACCCCGGCAAAGGGGAGUCCGAAUCUGCGCGUCGAUGCGAAUAAAAUUAUGGUCCCUGUCGCACACGCUGAAUUCCGGAAAUGUCGAAUAAACAUAAACGCAACGUUCCGCUUAUAUAAUCGGCCGCACCUGCAUGUUCAUUGAAAAUUUCCACCCACGUAUGACCGAGGUGAAUGCGUCCCAAUUGGUCGCACACGUGGUUGGAAAAGUCUACGUUCGCAAAACUAGGCGGGGCUCACGUGCGAAUCCUAAUUUUGUCGAUACCAUAGACGCAAUUGUAGCGACAAAGAUAUCAGGCGUGUGUAAAGCUUGAUCUACAAUAGCGCACUUUACUUCCUGUUUCUUUUUUUAUCUCUUUCUGAUUUAAAUCCUGAACCUUUAGUCAGAAAAGGAUAAAGAAUAAGAAACAGAAAGAAAAGAGCACAUUGUAGAUCAGGUUUAAGGGCGCAUUCGCAUCUUGGCAGAAAAGCGGAAAGCAAAAAAGCAAAAGCCAAUCAGAACUAAUGUUGGUUAGUCAGAUGGUAGUCGACUAGUUUCUACUUUUCUACCAGCGCGAGUUCUGAUUGGUUUUUGCUUUCUUGUUUUCUGCUAAGUCGUGAAUUUUCCCUAAUACAUUUCAGCAAAAUCACAUACAAAGCGACAGCAUAACUAAAUAUAAUCUCGUCCUUGGCGGAAUCCUUUUAUAUGUUACGGCCUCAAGAGGGUUCUCCUGAUCCUAAAAGUGAAAUAUUCUAAGUUCCAGAAAGAAAGUUAAUUGCAAGGUACUAUUUCCUGUAAUCCUAUAUUGUAAACGGAAAUUUUCGUCGAAAGAGCAUCUCUUUUCUAAUGAAGAGGAAUAAUAUUGCGCUUAGAAUAUUUUCUUUUUGGUUUUAGAAGUAUUCUUUUGAAGCUACAUAAAUCGAGAAAAUAAAUAUUUGGAAAUUUAUUUGUGGAAUAAAAGUUUAUUUCUGCGAAGUAAAAUAUAUUUUCGUGAAGUAAGAUUUAUUUCUGUGAAUAAAUUUUAUACCGCACCAACGAAAUUUUCAAAUACUUUUUUCUCAGUUCACACAGAGAAAAUAUUUGUCUGGAUUUAAUAAAUUCGGUUGCAUUCAAACAAAUUUGAUCGUUAGAAUGGUCCAAAGAUACUAAUGUUCAGUCAAUAAACGCGAUUGUUUGACUUUUCAAGUAAUUUUAUGGUUUGAUUCAAAGAAAAGAAAAUUGUUUUCACAUAAUUUUCUUAUUUUAUUAAGAAAACUUGAUAAUUAUGUUUAAAUAAUCUUCGAAAACUGACGUGUCCUUCUUCACAUUACUAAUGUGGUCUGUCUUUAUAUUGCUUCAUUCUUCUUUCGCUAUGAUUUUCCAUUCAAAUACUCCAUCAUCCCGCGAUACGGUCAUCCAUCCUUUUUACUAGUCACUAGUGUGAGUUACUUGACUUCAACGAUCGCAUAAGAAUUAAUGAUGAUUGAAUGAUAUUUUUCCAGUAUUAUGUUUAUAUAUACACGAAGGAGUGUGUAGAUAGCGAAACAAUGAUGCCAUGAUUGCUCUUAGAUUUUUAACAAAAUAUUAUAUUAGUUAGUACACUAAAAAAAGGGUAGUUCGACAAAAUCGGCAGUCACAGAAAUAUUGUAUCUAUUGAAUAAAUUACGCGUUAGUGUAACAAUAAGUUGCGUUGAUAUAGUUACUGAACAAAUCGUAAUCAUUGAAUCGAUUAAUCACUCUCUUUUAUCACAACAAUUAUAUAAUUCGUUUAACCAAACGUUUGCUUGAACGAAUUUUAUUCAUGCAAGCAAAGUCUCCUUAAUUUAACCACUUUUUUCUCAGUGUACAAACGAUAGAUUAGAUUGAGAAACGAAAUAUUUAAAGCGGAGCUCUUUUUCAAUCAAAUAACACGAUUUAAUUCAACGAAACAAAAUUUAAAAUAUAACUACAUAUAAUAUAUUAUUUGGUUAAAUAUUUUCUUUAAAUAAUAGUAUUUUUUCCAUUAUUUAAUCUAAUAAAACAUACAAUGCUAUUUUGACAUAAAAAAUUAUGUUGUUCAAUAUAAAAUAACUUUGUGUUACUUUGUGUCAAAGAAAUUGCAAUGAAACAAGUAGGAAUGCUAAAUCCAAAGAAACCUUUUCCUCUAUAUGUAAGAGGAUUCCGCUAAGAAUGAGAUUAUAUUAUUUUGUAUAAUCAACGAAAUACCGUUGAUGAGAUAUCAUAUUUUCUUCUAUCCAUUUUUUCCUCAGAAUGUUCCUUACAUUCACAUUUCAUUAUAUUCGUAUGUCCGUAUAUUUUUACAUUUUAUUUAUAUAUGUAUAUUACUCUUUUAUAUUGUCUCUCAUAAAGUUCUCUCUCACUUUUCCAUGAAGUUUCUCCAUGAAUGUGAAGCUAUAUGAAACUGUACUUUGUUACAGGCCGCGUACCAGUUAAAUAUUUUUUACACACGGUGCCCGACAGAUAUCCAACAGAGAAAGGGACUACCGGCGUCUCCUAUCUGGAAAGAGAUAUUUCAAACAAUUCCCAGCUGAUAACUUUUCAGCGGUUCUAUUGUGCGCACAAAUUUUCCUUCAUGCAUGAGAAACGGUGCUCGCGGAAAGUCUUCGUGCGGCGGCUCGCAGCAGAUAAAUGGACUCAUCUAAAAUCUAUCUGCGAAAUCGAUCGGCCCGACUGUAGGCCUUGCGCGACAGCCAAUUUAUCUUCCUGCCACGAGAAAGUCGUUAUUCUCGAGAAAACGCCGAAAUGAGAAAGCGCAGAGCAGAGGAAUCGCGUCGGGGAGUCGCGGGGCGAAAUAGGCAGGCAUUGCCGCUUGUUCCCGUUUUCCGCGAUGUGUCGAGCCGAGGAGGCAAUGUGCCAGAAAUAAGGAAGCAGCCCCGAUAAUUCGCGCGCGAACCGAGCGGAACGUUGAGGGAUGUCGACGUAUUUGCGUCUUUCGUUCCAUUUACGGCCGAUAUUAAGAUCCGAGCGCCGUUCCUCCAUAAUCAGGGUCGCGGUUGUCAUUCUCGGCUCGCAUUUUGCUUCUCGUUGAAAAUUGCCGUCGAUCGUUCAAACGUUCGCUCGCGGAAAGAAUCGAUAAUUCGUUUUGAGCGGCGACGCGACACAUAUAUGGCGCACGGUGCCUUUUCAGUUCCUUUCAAUUCACACGUCCGUUCCUCUCGACUCGUACAUCUCGUCCCAGUCGAAAUUUUAACCACAUUUUGGACCUCAAUAGAGUAAAUAUCCCAAUUAAUAAUCAUGUAAGCUCAUCGUGAAAACAUAUAAAUUAUUUAAUAAUGUACGUGUUACAUUAUGUGUACAAAAUUGAUUUUAUGGAAAAGUUUGAAUAUUUGAGGUUUCAAUUGUGUCAUAUUUUUCUAACUUAUGGGAAGACUUUUAUUUUAUUUAUAAUAUUUUCUUAAAAAUGACUGAUGUAUUAUUUAGCGACGUGACAGUGUAGUUUUAUUCUAAUUUGUGACGUAAGGUAAAUGUUGGGGAUAAAUACGGGGUGGUGUGUGAACUAUUUUAUUAAGGGAAUUUAUUGAGGCUGAUUUAUUAAUGAAAACGAAAUAUUAACAAAAACAAAAUACAACUGUCACUAAUUAGAACACAGUCAUUAAUUGGGACAUUCCCCUCAUUGCAUUUAAUGUUUACUUUGAUACUUUGAACUAUUUAAUCUAUUAACUUUUCUGAGAGAUCCUCUUUAGAACCUGCAAUUGGUAUUUUGUACAUUUUCUACCAUUCUGGAAGCACCAUUCUGGUAGAACUCCAGUUUUCAGGUGUAUUAAAGAUACACUGGUCUUUCAGAAGACAUACAGAUGUCAGAAAGUUUAGGUCGCGAAAGUAGGACUAAGAUUUCGACCCGGUUAUUCUGAAGGAUCAGUGUAUGUUUAAUACACAUCGAGGUCCUACUUAAGCGCUUCUAAAUGGGAAUAAACAGGCAAAAUGCUACUUGUAUAUUCUAAAGAGGACUUCUAGGCAAAGUUAGCACACUGUAAAAAAUUUUAUGUUAAAUUCAAUAUAUUUCAUAUGUUCCAAUUUAUUCAUUCUAAUUUUAAUGUUAAUCUAAAACACAAGACAAAUACAAGUAACAUCAAUAAUAUGGCGAAAAUUACCACAUAAGUGUAAUAUAUGGACACUAUUAUUCUUUAACCCUUAAAAAUAGUGAAUAUAAAUUCAACGCAGAAUGAUUAAAAUAACGCAAUGACAAUAUGUCAAAUUAAUAAUUGUCAUGCUGAAAAUUGAACGUAAGAAUUUUUGUCGAUUUGUGUGGAAGUGAAGAAUCGAUUCCAACACAAAUACAAAAGUUUUUUUAUCGUGUGGAUUUAGUAAAGAGCAGAAGAGAUCGAUAUAGACUUCGAAGUGUCAAAACAAGCGUUGAAUGGAAUACUGAGGUCGAGGACAGCAGGAAAAUUCCGACUCUGGCGAUUUCGAGUCGUUGCACGCGAAGCGCAGCGCGCCGAUACGCGGCGAAUCCGCUGCAUUUUUCACGAGAGAGAUUAGAAACUUUCCGUAAUUUUCCGCGUGCUCUCUUAAUUUACAUGCAAAUUUAUACGCGCCGGUCGGAGCCACUGUUGGUAAAACUAGCGCGGCGGUAAUUUAUGAACAACGCGAGGCGGGAUCGCUGGUAAUCGUUGCCGCGUAGAUUCUCGCGUGAUUCUCGAGCGCGCGGAUAGAUCUACAGCCGCCGUCUGAUCGCGUCCUUCUUCUUCGUUUCCGCCGAAAUCGCCAGGCAAAUUGCACUUCUGUAUUUACGGCAGUUGCGAACGGACCGAACUCCCGGCGCGAUAUCCGCGCAGAUAUUAAGCGCCGUUCGUUUUCCGUUUUCGACGAUAACUAACCGGCCCUCGAUCAAUGAUAUCAAUUUCUCGCGACCGGCUUGCCUUGCACUGCACCUUUGGAAGCGGUUCAUUUGUACGCGGAUUCGCUUAAUGGAGGUAGCGCGUCGGGCCGACAGCGAUUAAUGUAGGACGGGGUAGCAGAUGCAGCUCGCGUCGAGUUAAGUAUUACAUCGCACGCGCGCGGAAAAUUCAUCCGUCUCGGUAAAGUAUGCAUGAGCUCGCGCGUGCUCGUGCAGCCGAUGACUCGAGGGCGAAAAGCAAGCUCCGACAGCCGCGCAUAAACAGAGUGGCGUUUUGUUCCAGCGUCGGGAGUCGUCUCCGGCUUCGACGGUUAAUUAUCCGUUUAUCGGGCCGCGUGAUUUUAACGAACGAAACGAGGCGCGACGCUCGGCUCCCUGAUAAAUUGCCGGUUGCCCGUGGGGAACGGGUCAACAGUUGCUGUAUCAGACGAAUUUAAUUAUUUCGUAACUUGUGCGCGAACUACGUACAAUGAUGAAUACCGUUUCGCGCCCUUAUAUCCCCCGGGAAACUAAUUUGCGCUCGCGAAAAUUCCGCUACAAAUUCGCUACGAAGCUGGUAAUGCAUCCCGAAAUGGGACGCUGUGCUUCUCCGCUGGCUCCUGAAUGUUCCUUUUGAUCUACCACUGAGCAGUUUCGGUCCUCCAUUGAUAAUAAUUUAUGAGCACUCGCGGGAAAUUCGUCCAAAUUGCUGGCGACGGAGCAACGUCUCGUAUGCCGCGCGCGAUUUUCCUUCCCUGGAUAUCAGAUAGCGACUCUCGCUCAGAAGGAAGCAUUUUUAUGUAUAACACGCGCAUAUCAUGCAUCACUGUGCGAUGCAAUGUGCGAUGACAAUGGUUUGGUCGCCGAAAGCUUGGUAUUUCUUUAACCUUUUCGUACCCCCGGCUUUCCCAGAAGAGAUAUGUUCCACAUUGAGACGAUUAUGAAAGUUUCUGGGGUCGCUGAUUCCAAAUUUAUUAUUAAAAGAGUGAGACCAAGUGCCUAUAGGCCACCAGCCCAGACUCAUGGCUCAACAAUUUUGAAACCAUUUUUUAAAGUUUAUAUAGUGUGUAAAUUACAAAUGUGUAAAUGCCAAAAUGUUUGGACCUCAAGUUCUAGAGAUAUUCUAUUGAACCUUCCUCAGAUUGCCUCAGACCCAAGGUUUAGAAUAUAUCGAUGUUGUGAAAAAAUCUAUAACCAAAUACUGAUUGACAAUACUGUCAUAAGUGACAAGGCUGGUCAAGAUAUGAUUAUCAUAUAAUAAUAUAAUUAUUAUAUAAUAAGUGCAAUAACCGUCCAACGUAUUCUGCUGCAGUUCAACGCGGAUAGCACUGGCGCCAUCUCGUGGGAAUGGGACUUUCAGUGGGCCAUAUCUUUGGAAUCUGAGGUCCGACUACUUCGGCAUUUGCAUAUUUAUAAUUAACGCACCAUAAACUUUAUCAUAAGCUCAAGAUGAUUUCAAAAGUUUUUGGCUAUAAAUCUGAGCCAUUCUUCGCCGUACUCUUUAAGUUCAAAAUAGCGAACUCAAGAUGGCGGCCAUGAAAAGCUUAAAUAUUGAUAUAUUUCAAACAGCUUCGAAUGUCGCUUGAAUUAAUAAUUGACAUUGCAUACUAUUUGUCGUAAACGCUACGUUCCUCGAAACUACGUAGAGAGAACGGUUUUUUCGGAUUUAAUAAAGCUUGUUAAAUUAAAAGAAAUUUAUUUAUUAGAAUAACGCAAUUAAAUUAAUUUCUGAUGCAAGACUUUUAAAUUUUAUUGUAUAGCCUAAGUAAUUUAUUGCUUGGUUUAGAGAAGAAAAUUGCCUCUCUCAAUUUUGUAAUUUUAUUAAAAAAGGUUCGAUAUAAUUCUGUCGAUAAACAUUCUUAAAAAAUUUAACAUUUCUUUUCUUAUAUUACUGAUGAUUUGUCUUUUUAUUACUUCAUCAUAUGCAUUCUUCUUCUCCUGUAUAUUUUUCUACUUACAUAUUCUAUCAUUCAGCACUCAAAAAAGUGAUCUUGCAAUCCCAUAACGAAGAUUAUCUAGAUAUGAGAAAUUUGCUAAAAUGCAAGAUAAAUGAUUAGCAAAAUUUGCAUGCAAUAUCACGUAUGUUUCAUAUUUAAGUAAAAUAAAUGAGAGAAAAAGAGAGAGACAGAAUUUCUAUCUAAACUAUUUGUGAAAUUUAGUAAGAAAGUCUCUUUGUGGCACAUCCAGAUUAAGGCCAGUCACACUUCUUAUAAAGUGACUAUACUAGACAAAAAGGACUAGUGACGAGAGACAAACGAACGUAUAAUCUGCACCUAAAUUUGUUAGCAGAGUGCUGCUACUGUAAAUUCUACGUACCACAGACAAUUUCCUAGCAGAUACAAAAACAGCGAUAAGUUUUAACUGUGACAUUUAGAAUUCUACCUGAACCAGCAAAAUAUUUUUUUAAACGCGCAAUGCGGUCAUCCAUCCUCUUUACUGGCGACGGUUUGGGUUUUUUUUUACUUCAACUAUCGUAUAGGAAUUAUAGUAUUAUAAUAUAUGUAACAAUUGUGUUUGUGUGUGAAAUAGUAUUUUUUUAUGUAAACAUAUAUAAUUGUAUUAUCACAUACAAUUAUAUUAUGCCAAAUUUCUUAUCUAAUCAUUUUUUCCUCGAGUAUGUUUAUAAUGCAUUCCUUUAACGUUCAAAAGGUUCUUUUCGUGCCUUACUUUCUGGCAAUCGAUAAAAACAAUGCAAUAACUGUCAAUAUUUAACGGAUAUUGAAAGAAUGUACAUAUAACGAAUCAGCGAUGACAUGAAUGCUUUUGAAUUUUUAACCAAAUAUCGUAUUGGUUAGUACAAACAAUAGAUUUUACAUUGAAAAACGAAACAUUUAAAACAACAGAUGUUCUCUGUAAAAUAUAAUACUUUAAUUCAACGAAACAAAAUUUAAAAUAUUAGCGAAUCUCAAUAAAAUAUAACAUUAUUUAAUUCGAUAAAAUAAAAUUUAAAAUAUUAGCAAAUAAUAAUUUAUUUUGGUUAAAAAUUAAAUUUUAUUUCCUUUAAAUACUAGUAUUUCUUCCAUCACACACAAUAUGAUUAAUUUAAUGAAAUAAAUAAUAUUUCAUAUAAAAUUAUAUUGCUUAAAUCCAAUAAAUCCAACUCAAAUAAAUAGGAAGGCUCAAUUCAAAGAAAUCGUUCUUACUACGUAGAUAACGUUUUUCAUUUAGAAGAAGAUACUUCCCACACAUAAAACAUCCAUAAAUGAUUGUUUUCGUUACUGAAAUCCUGAAACUUCUUUAAAAUAUUUACAAAUUCAUGAUUAAUAUCCUAUACUAGUCAUCACGAGUAUUACAUGUCUUAAAACUAGAUAGCGACUUUUAUUUGGAGAAAAGUGCUCCCAUUUAUAAGACAUCAAUAUAUAAUAAUUGUUUUGGCUAUCAAAAGCUUGGAACUUCUUUAAAGCAUUUACAAAAUGAUGAUAAAUAUCGCAUAAUGGUUAUCGUGAACGCCACGUGCGUUGUUCAAUCAGUAAGCGAAUACGAUACGAUGAGCAAUUUGCGAUACGUUUUAAGGUAUGUUCAGUUUUGUAUCGUAUCACCGUAUCGUGUAUCAUAUCAUGAUAUGAUACGCUGAUACACCGUUACGAUAAAGCCUAGUUUUCAAUUCGUAUUUGUAUCCUGUAUCCGUAUCUUUAGUGUGUAUCUUUUUGAUUUUUCCAUUUGUAAUACAUCAGUGUCUUUAGUUUCAUGUUGUUUCCACGCGAUCAUAAUACACAAUACUGAGAUAAAAAGCAGUUGAGUUAAUAAAACUUUAUUCGUUCAAAUAAACAUUUAGUCGCAAACCUAUUGUUGAGGAGUUAUUAAUUGAUUUAAUGAUUGUGAUUUGGUAACUGUAUCAGUAAUAGUUUUCAGUAAUUAUAUCAAUAACAAAUUUCAGUAACCGUGUCAACGUAAUUUAUUGUUGCACCAAUGUUCAAUAGACACACGAAGAAAAAUAAUUUGCUGGCCCAGCAAAUUUUCUGCUGGUCUAGCAAAAUCUUUUCGUUAUUAUAUGGACAGCAAAAAGAUUUGCUAAGAGUACUGAUUACUAUUGAAUAUGAACG